ensembl:lncRNA
GUUUGGGGCCAGCCGAGAUAAGAGAUUUCACAGUACCACAUGAAGCAGAAUUGAUCUGGAUUACCAUAAAGCCUGGACAGUACAGCAAAUUGGACUGGUGAGAAAGUAGUUCAGAUUUUAACACCGAUAACACAUACCUGGUGGCACAUUGUGGACUCCACGUAAACACCGCUGCCAGUCUUCGUGAAUUGAUGGAAAGUCAUUAAUCUUGGAAGAUUCAAAGUGACAUUAGUAUGUCCAGUGAUGGGGUGAGAUCUAUAACCAGGCGAAAUACGUGCUGACUCUAGAGAUGGAGAAGAAUGUGAAUGAAAAGCUGCUUAAGACUCAUUUGUGAUUUAUGUAUGGACAGAAGUACAGAAACUGCUUAGAUUCUGUUAAUCACUUCCCCGAUGUCUUUCAUGGUGUUCUUCAGCAUGGUACAAGCAUAAUGCUUAGGUGAGGGAUCAUAACUCAUACAGAAGAAAGCACAGCACUAAGUUCCAUUACCCUGCAAUCUGAG